rnacentral:rRNA from 1 species
CCCUUAGAUGUUCUGGGCCGCACGCGUGCUACACUGAGUGGAUCAGCGGGUCAGGUUGCGCGAAAGUGUUUCCUAAUCUUGAAAUCCGCUCGUGAUGGGGAUUGACGGUUGCAAUUUUCCGUCAUGAACGAGGAAUACCUUGUAAGCGCGGGUCAUCAUCCUGCGCUGAAUACGUCCCUGCCCUUUGUACACACCGCCCGUCGCUCCUACCGAUUGAGUGGUCCGGUGAGGCUUUGGGAUCUGAGCGGAAAGAGCGUUUCGCUGUUUCUGCUCGGAAAACUCAGUCGAACCUUAUCAUUUAGAGGAAGGAGAAGUCGUAACA